UGUCAGACUUCCAAGAAAAGCUUGCACUGUCAAAAACAAAUAAUGCCUGUACCAUAACCGACACAGGUGGGUAGGUAGAGUAUACUAAGGGGCGCGAGAUAACUCUCUCUAAGGAACUCGGCAAAAUGACUCCGUAACUUCGGGAGAAGGAGUGCCUUAUUUUUAAGGUUGCAAUAACAAGAUCCAAGCAACUGUUUACCAAAAACACAGGUCUCCGCGAAGUCGUAAGACGAUGUAUGGGGGCUGACGCCUGCCCAGUGCCAGAAGGUUAAAGAAGUUGGUUAGCAUUCGCGAAGCUGAUAACUGAAGCCCUGGUGAACGGCGGCCGUAACAAUAACGGUCCUAAGGUAGCGAAAUUCCUUGUCGGGUAAGUUCCGACCCGCACGAAAGGCGUAAUGAUUUGGAUACUGUCUCGGAGAGGGGCUCGGUGAAAUAGACUUGUCUGUGAAGAUGCGGACUACCUGCACCUGGACAGAAAGACCCUAUGAAGCUUUACUGUAACUUGAGAUUGAAAUUGGACUUUAUUUGCGCAGUAUAGGUGGGAGGCCUUGAGAAGAAUCUUGCGAGAUUCUUGGAGCCAUCAGUGAGAUACCACUCUUGUAAUGUUAGAUUUCUAACUUUGUAUCAUUCUCUGGUCAAAGAACAGUUUCAGGCGGGCAGUUUGACUGGGGCGGUCGCCUCCCAAACGGUAACGGAGGCGCACAAAGGUUUCCUCUGAACGGGUAGAAAUCGUAUCUAGAGUGUAAAGGCAUAAGGAAGCUUGACUGUGAGACCUACAAGUCGAGCAGGGACGAAAGUCGGUCUUAGUGAUCUGACGGUGCUGAGUGGAAAGGCCGUCACUCAACGGAUAAAAGUUACUCUAGGAUAACAGGCUGAUCUCCACCAAGAGUUCACAUCGACGGGGAGGUUUGGCACCUCGAUGUCGGCUCAUCGCAUCCUGGGGCGGUAGUACGUCCCAAGGGUUGGGCUGUUCGCCCAUGAAAGCGGUACGCGAGCUGGGUUCAGAACGUCGUGAGACAGUUCGGUCCAUAUCCGGUGUAGGCGUUAGAAUAUUGAGAGGAGCCUUCUCUAGUACGAGAGGACCGAGAAGGACAUACCUCUGGUGUACCAGUUAUCGUGCCAACGGUAAACGCUGGGUAGCUAUGUAUGGAGUGGAUAACCGCUGAAAGCAUCUAAGUGGGAAGCCCACCUCAAGAUAAGUAUUCUCA
rnacentral:rRNA from 1 species